AGUUUGAUCAUGGCUCAGAAUGAACGUUGGCGGCGUGGAUUAGGCAUGCAAGUCGAGCGAGAACCGUAGCAAUACGGGGACAGCGGCGAAAGGGACAGUAAUGUGUAGAUCAUCUGCCCUCGGGAUCGGGAUAGCUGCGGGAAACUGCAGGUAAUACCGAAUAACAUCUCCGGAUCAAAUGGUGUGAUUCCGCCUGAGGAUGAGUCUACAUCCUAUUAGCUAGUUGGUGGGGUAACGGCCUACCAAGGCUUUGAUGGGUAGCGGGUGUGAGAGCACGACCCGCGUCACUGGGACUGAGACACUGCCCAGACACCUACGGGUGGCUGCAGUCGAGAAUCUUCGGCAAUGGACGCAAGUCUGACCGAGCGACGCCGCGUGCGGGAUGAAGGCCUUCGGGUUGUAAACCGCUGUCAGAGGGGAGGAAAUUACGGUGGGUUCUCCCACCGCAUUGACCUAGCCUCAGAGGAAGUACGGGCUAAGUUCGUGCCAGCAGCCGCGGUAAGACGAACCGUACAAACGUUAUUCGGAAUCACUGGGCUUAAAGGGUGCGUAGGCGGCGCGGAAAGUAGGGUGUGAAAUCCCUCGGCUCAACCGAGGAAUUGCGCCCUAAACUACCGUGCUCGAGGGAGAUAGAGGUGAGCGGAACUUAGGGUGGAGCGGUGAAAUGCGUUGAUAUCCUAAGGAACACCGGUG
rnacentral:rRNA from 1 species